rnacentral:rRNA from 1 species
UACGAGGGGUGCAAGCGUUACUCGGAAUUACUGGGCGUAAAGCGUGCGUAGGCGGUUUGUUAAGUCCGUUGUGAAAGCCCUGGGCUCAACCUGGGAAUUGCAGUGGAUACUGGCGAGCUAGAGUGCGGUAGAGGAUGGUGGAAUUCCCGGUGUAGCGGUGAAAUGCGUAGAGAUCGGGAGGAACACCCGUGGCGAAGGCGGCCAUCUGGACCAGCACUGACGCUGAGGCACGAAAGCGUGGGGAGCAAACAGG